rnacentral:rRNA from 1 species
GACGAACGCUGGCGGCGUGCUUAACACAUGCAAGUCGAACGAAGUGGCGAACGGGUGAGUAACGCGUAAUCAACCUGCCCUUCAGAGGGGGACAACAGUUGGAAACGACUGCUAAUACCGCAUACGGAAGGAGGGGAUUGCGUGGUAUUAGGUAGUUGGAGGGGUAACGGCCAACCAAGGCGAUGAUCAGUAGGCGGUCUGAGAGGUUGAACGGCAACAUGGGGACUGGGACACGGCCCAGACUCCUACGGGAGGCAGCAGUGGGGAGUCUUCCGCAAUGGACGAAAGUCUGACGGAGCAACGCCGCGUGAGUGAUGACGGCCUUCGGGUUGUAAAGCUCUGUUAAUCGGGACGCGGUACCGGAAUAGAAAGCCACGGCUAACUACGUGCCAGCAGCCGCGGUAAUUC